CUGUAACCGAGGCAGGAAAUUAUGACGGAUGUGAGAGAGUAAAAAGAAAUGUGGACUUUCGUUUUCUUUUGAGUCUGGCUGAGUAUUAGUCAUGCAGAUAAAGAGAUUUCUGUGGAACUAUCUGGUACCAUCUGUGUUAGUGAGUGAAGAGAGAGAUGUCCUCUGUAGCCAGAUGUUUCUGGGGAACCACUUUUCCAGUCUUCCAUACACUUCUCUUGAUAGGACGAUGCACUGUCUGGCCGCCUGAACUUAUGAAAGUCUUGUGCCAAUAUUUUAACUACCAAUGCAUGGAACUCGGGGGCUAUUUAUGUUCAAGCAUAUAAACCUACGGUUAAGAUGGCAAGGAAGAUGAAGGAGGCAGCUGCACAGGAGGGGAGCCCUUUCAAGUCCUGAUCAGACUGUAGAAGGUGAUCCUCCUCUUGGGCAAAGGGACCAUAGUGUUGCAAAUCACCUCUUGAGCAGGGACUAGUCAAAACCAGCCCAUUCUAAUUAACAGUGUUUCAUUGUUAUUAACACAUCCCUUUAAUUUUCUUUUACAGUAGACAUUAUCAUACAUGUUGCUGCAUUGUUACAAAGACUUUAAGUGGAAAUAUCUUCCCUUUUGUCCUUAAGGAGCAGCUCUCUAUUUCCCCUUCACUUGGACACAUACCAGGUAGAGGAGCAGAAGAGAAGGGUAGACGAAGUGAAGGAGGAGGGGGAUGAUGAUGAUGUAAUUAGCACAAUGUCUCAUUGUCUCUGACACCGUGCAUCACCACCUCAGAAAGCAGGGGUUAGACACCCGAGAAUCAGAAUCAGUUAGCAAAUAAGAAACAGAAGCAGGGAAGAGCUAAAUGAACCCUGAAGACUGAUCUGCUAUUCAGUAUGGUAUGGUUGAUCCAAUCUUGAUCUCCACACCAUUUUCCUGUGCCCUCACUAUGAACGUCGACUCCCUUGUAGUUCAAAUGUUUGUCUCCACCUUGAACAUGUUCAGUGACUUCACCUCCGCAACUCUCUGGGGCAAAGAAUUCUGAAGAGUCACAACCCUCAGAGAAGAAAUUACAUCUCAUCACCAUUUGAAAUGACUGACACUCCAUCCUGUCAAUCUCCCUCAGAAUCUUAUACAAGAUCUCUCAUUCUUCUCCACUCCACUGACUAUAGGCCCAACCUGCUCCACUUUUCUUCAUAUG